UUACAAGUUUAGGGAUAAUUAAUUGGGGAUGGAGGGGGUAAAAAAAAAACAUUAUCUCCUCCUUUACCUUACCCCAAUGCAAAUGCUCAGGAGUAUUCCACAGAGAAUCUGACUGAUCGGUUUUCUGCUGCUUAAUUGUAUACUCUUUCCCAGGUCUCUGUUCUUUACUUGUACUUAGCAUAGAGAAAAUCCUGGAGGUGUCGCGUUCUAAAGCUAACAUUGGAAAUAUUGAUUUAUAAUGUUGUAAAACACGAACUUGAAUUGGCAGAGUAGAAGUUUUUUAAUUGGCAGAGUAGCAUUGAAAUCAAUUAUAAUGUCAAUCUCGUAUCUGAGACAUAUUGUUCUCCACAAAACCUGAAAAAGAUAUUCAAGCUCCUAAACCAAGAAGCUUGAUAUUAAAGUUCCUUGACAGAAGUAUCUGUUCCUGUACUUACUGGAGCAGAAAUUAGAGAUGGAGGCAAUUCUAUUGAGGCGGCUCUAGUUGAUGAUAACUCUGAAGCAAUUGUUGAGUCUGGGCCAGAAGCCUCAGCUAUAGUGGAAAUAGGUGUUCUUAAGGGAGAAUUUGGAGAUGAUGAUGGAGGUAAUUGGACAUCUGAGGAUUUCUGUAGCAAUGUUGUGCAACAGAGGAAAGGAAAAAUGUCUCUUCUUACAGAAACUGUACAUGUGAGACUUAAUAAAGGCAUAGGUUCUAUAGAUAAAAUCAGAUUUACACAUUCUUCAAUCUAUAUGAAGACGGGGAUGUCCAUGCCAGGUUGCACGAGUUGACACUUUCAAUUGUAUUCAAGUUAAAGAAGCAAGGACUGAAUCUUUCACUGUCAAAGAUGGGCGCCAGCUAUGUAAGCAGCUUUCUAUUUACACAAUUAUUAGAAGCAUGAUCCACCAUGUCUAUCCGAUGGAGUAAAGUGGUUACAAAACAUAGGUAGAGGCAGUAAGUAUCGCCUCCGUGAUGAACAUGUUGACAGCGUAGAGGAAUUUCUGAUUUUGCUCCUAAAAGACCGUGAGCGACUCAAAUGUUAAUGCUCAGAGGCUGUUGGUUUCUGCAUGUGAACAUUGGGAUCAUGUGGUACAAAUUGAUAGUGAGACGUCUAUUGUGUGCAAUAUCUUUCUCAAUUAGUUUAACCCUUCAAAUUCUCAAAGCCAAGAGGUUCCUAGCACCAGUUACGGCAUUGAGAAUUUUAGAACAAGUGAUUGACACUGUUAUACCUCUUUCCAGCGCAAUGUUUCAUCCGUUGUUCCAGCCAGAGGUGCAAAAGCAAUGUCUGAACGAUCCUGGUUCCGCCAGUAUUAAUUACCUAGAGUUCUCUAACUCCCCAAUAUAUAGUCCUUCAGUCCAAGAUUUUUCGAUUGAUCUAUGCAACUUUGAAGGGGUAUGCUGCAUUGUGUGAAUAUCACUCCAGUUAUGGGAACAUACUGCGUAUGUUGUUGUUGCUGCUGUUUAGUACAGAACAUUAUCCAACUUAUUGCUUUAUUUGCAGUGUACAAGAAGCACCACCCCCAUCUAUUUCAGACGAGGUAUGGAGGCUGGAAAAGAUUGGCAAAGAUGGAACUCCCCACCGCUGUUUGAGCAAGGAAAGAGUAAACACUGUGAAAGAUUUUCUGACUCUAUCUAGAUCCUACAAGGCUUCAGAAUGUGAGUGCUACGACGUUUGUGUUACGUAUAUAAAUGGAUUUAAUGUACACGUAGCUUAUAAUGAUAAAGUUAUUUCUUCCUUGUUGAAUAGUAACAAAGAUGACUGUGACAAUGCUGGGCAUAUUUUCUAAUGUUUGUGAUUCUUUAGCAAGCCUGUUUAAUUCAUUCACUAGAAUCUUGGAUGCUUGUUGACACCUCUGUUUUUCUUUGGCUAUGCUUGCUAAAAUAUUCCUUCCUUCGAGCA